GGCGUGGCUCAAUGGUAGAGCAGCUGACUUGUAAUCAGCAGGUUGAAGGUUCGAUUCCUUUCGCC
rnacentral:tRNA from 2 species